CCUACGGGAGGCAGCAGUGAGGAAUAUUGGGCAAUGGACGAGAGCCUGAACCAGCCAAGUAGCGUGAAGGAUGACUGCCCUAUGGGUGGUAAACUUCUUUUACAGGGGAAUAAAAUGUACCACGUGUGGGGUAUUGUAUGUACCAUAUGAAUAAGGAUCGGCUAACGCCGUGCCAGCAGCCGCGGUAAUACGGAGGAUCCGAGCGUUAUCAGGAUUUAUAGGGUUUAAAGGGAGCGUAGGUGGAGUGUUAAGUCAGUUGUGAAAGUUUGCGGCUCAACCGUAUAAUUGCAGUUGAAACUGGCAGUCUUGAGUACAGUAGAGGUAGGCGGAAUUCGUGGUGUAGCGGUGAAAUGCUUAGAUAUCACGAAGAACUCCGAUUGCGAAGGCAGCUCACUGGACUGCAACUGACACUGAGGCUCGAAAGUGUGGGUAUCAAACAGGAUUAGAUACCCCUGUAGUC
rnacentral:rRNA from 1 species